rnacentral:tRNA from 1 species
UAGAGAGGGGUGUGUAGCACAGCUGACUUCCAAUCAGAAGGACUCGCUCUAA